CUGGGAGUGGUGGUGGAGAGGCCCCCUGAGCAGGACAGCAGCACAGAGGGCAGGAAGCCAAGCCAAGAGGCUGGGAGGGACGAUCCCUGCUGAUGGCGUCGAGCACCCAGGCUGUCAGCUGGAUGAGAAUGGAGAGCUCUGCCUGCUUCUCCUGCUGUGCUGUGCCCGGUGUCCAGAGCCAGCCGGCAGCCGCAGGGCAUCAGUGACGUGCGCUGGGCCAGUGAACACUGCAGACCACACAGGAGCAUACUUCCAGGAGUGCUAAGCGCCGUUGGCUCCUUCACUGUCCAUGGAGCCCAGCUCUGUGCCCGGCCCUGACUUGCGCUGUAGGCACGAUGGCCAUGAAGGAGACAAACUCUGCCGCCCCCUGGAGCCGUCGUCACAGAGGGACAAACAGUGAGCAGAGCACAGCAGCCCACUGUGCACGUGCAGCCAGAGGCGUCUUCUCCAAUGGAGGCCGAGGACGUCGCUCCCUGGUCCUGAUCCCCUGCUCCUUAGAACCUGACCCAGGGCCCUUGCUGUGGAACUGAGCUUGGACUAAUGAGGCAGCUCAGAGGUAGCCGCUGGCCAGCCAGCCAGGGCCCAAGCUCACAGAAGAGGAGAAAGCCUCAUCAGCAGAGCAUUCCACUGUCACAGCUGACUGCUUUCCAGGCCUGAGCUGGAGGAUAUCUAAGGUGAGAGACUCAGUACACAUGCACCAUGGGAGUGGUCCCAGAAACAAGGGGUGCUGGUCCAUGCCCCCGCAGCCUUGCACCUGCCUCUGUCUUGUAUGUGCCUGCCACCGCAGCCUCCUUCUGUCUAGAAUGCCUCCUCUCCGAUUCCUGUGGUCAGAGCCAGGCAUCAGGCCCCGCUAGAGGGCCACCUUGGUUUAGAUGCUGUCCCAAUGCUGCCAGCAGGGGGUGAGCAUGUGCUGUGCUGGGCAUGUCCUGCCUCUGCCCCUGGAACAGGGGACUGUCCUCUAGUUGGGUCCCCGUCUUCUCUUCCCAGCUGGGCCGUGCUCUUCCAGCGGGAUCAAUGCCUGAUUCACCUCGGGGAGCCCGAUGGGGUCUGGCCAGGUGCCCAGCAUGUGGGCUUCGCAGAGGGUAAGCCUCAUGGGCAGAGGAUUUGUGGAAACUGAACAAUUCAGUGUGAGUAAAGUGCAAGGAGGGGGUGGGAGUGAAAAGGGCUGCAGGGGACAGGUCACAGAGGGUCCCGAAAGCCCACUCAGGCAGUGGGACUGACCCUGAAGGGAAUGGGAGCCCUGGACAGGUGCCAGGAGAGCAAAAUUGGAGGACCACACACUGGGCUGUUUGGCAUAGAGAAAACCACAACGGGGGACCUAAUGGGGGAGCGACAAGACUCCCAGCCCAUCCCCAGCCCUUUCUUGCUUCCCCAGGCCCUGCUCUCUGUGGGUGAAGGAAAAUCUUCUCUGCCCGCUCAGACGCUGGGACCGUCCCAGGGCCGUCUCGUGAGCAGGUGGAAAGACUCUGCAUGCAGUGUCACCAGCCUUGCGAGCAGCAGCCAGCGGCCUCCUGGACAUCCUCAGGCUUCUGAGGAGCCCCUGCGGAAGCUCCCUGACACACGACCCUCCCUCUGGACCCCAAGAUGUCUGGCUUCCUGUGGAGCUCCCUUAGACAUGGAGCUGGGUGAGCAGCCCAGACCUCGGUCAGCACUCCCAGGGGGAUCGCUCUACACCACUGUCAUAAAAAGGAGACAUCGUCCCAGUGGACAGGCCCAACUCCUGCGUUACAGUCAGAAAACUCAGCCUGACGUGGAAGUGACCCGAGGCUGCUUUGAGGGCCCAAACCCGUGCCGCAGUCCAGGCUCUGAGGUUUCACCUCAGUGGGGCUGAAAUGCAGACCUGCAGUGAGGGUGGCCCCUCCUCGUGACCCCAGGUGCCUACAGGCUGUCCUCCUAGUUCACCAAGUGUUUUGGACACGAUGCUUCUUAGGUCACGGAGGUGCCAGGUCCCUUCUGAGUUGAAUCUCUGCAGAUAGUGCCACUGUGGUUGGCACAGCUCCGCUGGCCGCUGGACCAAGGCCUCUCACCUGCACAUCCCUGCAUGUCCACGUGUCCUUCUUGCACGGCCCCCACGCACAGCGGAAGGCGUCCACCUCGGGCCGAACUCCGACGCCGCUGGCCAGCUCUGGAUUCUGUGUCUCACCUCCACAUAAAUGCAGGGGGGCGGCUUGACCUCCCGCUCUGGGAUGGGACUGGCUGGGACCUCACAUGGGCCAUACCCUGUUCGGCUUGCCAGGCCAGGUCCUGCUAGGCAGGCAGCAGCACAGGCCUCGGAGCACUGUGAGCAGCUUCCCAGUGGCGCCCCCACCUCUGGCCCUGGCUGCAGCCUGAGGGGGAGGCCGGGGUCGCCCCACCAGGCUGUCCAGCCUGCCGAGAGUCUCCGUGGCAGUUUCCCUCCCGGGCCCCAUGGCUGGUGCUGGUGCUGUGGGUGGAGGGGACGGCCCCGGGGACCCGCAGAGGGGUCGGGCUGGGGGUGGUGGCGCCCGACUCCAGGCGAGCAGGCUCUGUGACCUUCAACACUCACUCCUGCUUCUCCUCGGGCCACUGACAGCCAGCCUCGCAAAGCUAGGUGGGCAGAACCGGCUCACUGCCACCGUGUUGGCCGAGAUGGGCAGAGGCCCUCAGCUGUGCUGUGCAGGGUGGCAAAGAGCUGCAGCUCCUGGCCUCGGCGGACGGGAGGGACCUCCCAGUGCUGGUGUGCCCAUCCCCCUGGGCCUUCUGAGACUUCAGGAUGAAGAACAUGGCCACAUUAUUGUCAUACCUUCAUCUGCGAGACUCCUGGAUUUGAUUCCACUGAAAACCCAUCUUCAUCAUUGAUUCUGUCACCCAGGAGUCCCUUGUGUCACAAGGCAGCUCCUAUACGGGCUCAGUUUCGGCCAGCCCUGAUUGACCCAUGGGUCUCCCAUGACCUCUUCUAAGGUCUUCCUCUUCCUGGGGUCAAGGGUCAGCAGGACUCUCAUAAUUGGAUGCAUUCCAACAAAAGGAGCAUGGGGAGCAAGUAGGCCCCUCUGAGCACGCUCUGCUGCACGUCACUGAAGUCCUCUCCCCAGAACGGCGGGGACCCGGUGAGCACGACAUGGAGCAGCAUGCCAAGGCUCCAGCCAUCAGCUGGGGGGCCAUCUUAGGGCUGCAGUCGCAGGACCUCUGGGGCCAUGUAGCUGGGGGUGCCCCAGUAGGUGCUCAGUGGCCGGCCGGGGACCACGCUGCUGAGGCCGAAGUCGGCCAGCUUCGCGUUCCCCUCCGGGUCCAGGAGCACCUUCUCCAGCUUCAGGUCCCGGUGCACGAUGCCCUUGCGGUGGCAGUACUGGAGAGCCGAGAUGAGCUGCCGGGACCGGCCACGGGCCUCCUCCUCCGUCAGGGGGCCGUGCUGCAACCGAGGGUCGAGGGUGUCCCCUCUGCUGAUGUAUUCUGUGAUGAUGAACAGCGUCUCCUCCGUGUCGAUCACCUCUAGCAGCUUUACAAUGUGGGGUGGUGCAAUGUCUUCAAACUCUGCAUUUCACCGAGGAGUCUCUUGGCUCUGGAGGAGCUCUGCUCCUGCUUCGGGGUGAUUUUCACGGCAACCUCUGUCCCGGUCGGGAUGUGCAGGGCCAGCUUAACCUGCGAAGGAGCCCUCCCCAAUGGUCCUGAGGAGCUUGUAAUCGUGAAGACAGGUCUGCCUGCCAGAGAGGUGGCAGCGAGGCCUGGAAGCAUGGUGACCUCAUAACUACACUUACUGACAAUACCAACCAAUGAUGCUAACUAUGCUUACUAACUACGCCAACAAACAAAAUGUUAGUCUGCUAACUAAUACUGACUAACAAUAAUAACAAGGCCACUGAUGCUUGCUAACUUACUAUGCCAAUAAGUAACACUAACUAUACCAAAGAUGCUAACUCUACUAACUACACCAACAAUACUAACUAUACUAACUGUAAUAACAAUACUAACUAAAAAAUUGUUUUAAAAUGUGAAAAAGAACAAAAAAAAGCAAGGAAAAAUAAAAAAUGAGAAAAGAACAGGUUUUCGUAAAUUCCAUCACAGUGGCUCCUUAUGAGGUGAGAGCAGGAAAUGCACCAGGCAUGGCUGGGGAUAAACUAUAGUGGUUGGCUCCCUUUUUGGUCUCAAGAACCCAUUACUGUGAAAAAAAAAAAAAAAAAGGACAGCAAAGAGCUUUUUAUGUAUGUAGGAUAUUAGACAGUGAUAUUUACUUUAUUAGAAAUUAAAACCUGUAAGAUGCUUCAGUGGCCUUUUCAUUUCAUUUCUAAUUUUAAAAUCUCUAAUAAUUUUUGGCUGUUAAAUACCUCAAAACAUCCACACUUAAAAUAUUCAACUCCUUUUCCUUAAACUCUGAUUACUCUCAAAAUGAUCCUACCACUGAAGGGCUGUCAUAAUCCUAUAGGAAAACGUUCUGUUGCAUGAGACCUGAGAAGGGACAUCAUUAACGCUGACAAAGCUGAGAGGAAGAGACCUUUCCUCCUAUUUUCCCAGUAAGAUCAGGAGCAGAUUCCUCACCAGAAACCUUGGAGGCCAGAGGGCAUGGGCUGACGUACUCUAAGUGCAGAAGGAAAAAGAAUCCAACCAAGAAUCCUAUAUCUGACAAAACUCAGGCCAUAAGGGUGGAGCCAAAACUUGGUAGGACCAGUGCCCUGACAAGAGGAAGGGACAGAAGAGCUCUCUCUACCAGGAGAGGACGUGGGGAGAAGGCGCCUGCCUGGAGGAGGGGUCCCCUCAGGAACCCGCCCUGCCAGACGCUGAUCUGGGGCUUACAGCCUCCAGAACUGUGGGAAAAUGUUCAGGUGUCCCCCUCUAUGGCACUCUGUUGUGGCCACCGAGCUGACAGAUGCCCCCAGCCUUAAAGCCCUGCACCCUCCUCCUCCUGCCUGGAUCACUCCAGGUAGUUAACAUCUGCCAUUGCCCCUCUUAGCAGCCGCUUCUCUACCGCAGGGGCACCGCUGACCGCCCUCCACACCCUCGGCCAGGCAUCCCCGGUCAUCCCUCUCUGAGCAGCCGGCCCCUCCCCACCCCACAGGCCGGUCUGCCGCUGAUCCUCCUGGAGGACGCUGUCCCUGCCUGAACUCAGCCCAGGACCUGUACACACGUGCUCCAUUUCAGAGAAGACAGCGGCACUGCCCAGGAAGGUCAGAGCACCUUUGGACCCAGGAGUUCUGCUCCCAGGUAUAAACGCCAGUGAAGCAUGGGACCCGGCCCAGAGCCCCGAGCUGGAAUAGGCCCGCGUGUCUCUACAGGACAGUGCAUGAAUGUGGCCCAUCCACACAAGGGACACUAAACAGCCACAGGAAUGCACGCAUCCUGGGCACCCCCAGCAGCCAAGUGAGUCGCCCAGGCAGCCAGUCCCCAAAGAGGGUGCACAUCACAAUCUACAUGAAUGAAGAAAAAUGGGCAAAACUCAACGCCUCAGCUAAGGGUGCCCCCUGGGGAGUGAGACUAUGAGGCCGAGCAGGGACACGACUGUCACAGAAGUCAAGCACCAGUCAUCCAGGGAGGGCGGCUUUUGUCAGGAGGAACACAGUGCCUCUGAGCUGCUGGAAAUGUCCCAUCUACUGACUUGGGUGGUGAAUAUACCUGUCUAUACUACGUGAAUCUUUAAACUGUACACACACACAAAUAUGUAUGCAUAUAUACCGUGUCUUCUGUGUGUAUAUAUCACCGUUUUAAAAAGGAAAACAAUGAGCAAUUGUCCAAGAAAGUGAUGGAUUAUUAUUUUAAACAGGGCGAGAGAGCCCCUACUUUGCUCCUCACACA